rnacentral:rRNA from 1 species
UAAAGCAAGAAAGGGCGUAUGGGGAAUGCCUAGGCACACUCCGGCGAAGAAGGACGCAGCAAACAGCGAAAUGCGACGGUGAGCGGUAAGCACGUGAAGAGCCGUCGAUAUCCGAAUGGGGGAACCCACACGGAGUCAUAUCCGUGUAUCACAUGUCGAAUACAUAGACAUGAUGAGGCGAGACGCAGGGAACUGAAACAUCUAAGUACCUGCAGGAAGAGAAAAUAAGAAUGAUUUUCUGAGUAGCGGCGAGCGAAAGGGAAAGAGCCCAAACCGAUCUGAGGAUCGGGGUAGUAGGAUCAUCGAUAAAUCAAACAGAGGAUCAUAGAGGAAUCACAUGGGAAGGUGAGCGAGAGAGGGUGAGAGCCCCGUACUCGAAAUGAGAGACUGGAGAGAGAUGACACCUGAGUAGGGCGGGACACGAGAAAUCCUGUCUGAAUCAGCCGGGACCAUCCGGCAAGGCUAAAUACGAGAGAGUGACCGAUAGUGAACCAGUACCGUGAGGGAAAGGUGAAAAGAACCCCGGGAGGGGAGUGAAAGAGAACCUGAAACCAUAUGCCUACAAGAAGUCAGAGCCCGUUAAAGGGUGAUGGCGUGCCUUUUGUAGAAUGAACCGGCGAGUUACUGUAUGGAGCGAGGUUAAGCAGGAUAUGCGGAGCCGAAGCGAAAGCGAGUCUUAAGAGGGCGCGAGUUGCAUGCAGUAGACCCGAAACCGGGUGAUCUAGCCAUGACCAGGUUGAAGUUGGGGUAAAACCCGAUGGAGGACCGAACCGACCCCCGUUGAAACGUUGGCGGAUGAGUUGUGGCUAGGGGUGAAAUUCCAAUCGAACCCGGAGAUAGCUGGUUCUCCCCGAAAUAGCUUUAGGGCUAGCGUCGAGAGAAGAGUUGCGUGAAGGUAGAGCACUGAAUAUGUGAUGGCCCCAUCUCGGGGUACUGAGCAUAAUCAAACUGCGAAUGUCACGAGAACAUGCUCGGCAGUCAGACAGCGGGUGAUAAGGUCCGUUGUCAAGAGGGAAACAGCCCAGACCAUCAGCUAAGGUCCCAAAAUGUAUGCUAAGUGGAAAAGGAUGUGGAGAUGUACAGACAACUAGGAGGUUGGCUCAGAAGCAGCCAUCCUUUAAAGAGUGCGUAACAGCUCACUAGUCGAAUGACUCUGCGCCGAUAAUUUACCGGGGCUAAGCAUACUACCGAAGCUAUGGAUCCCAAGGGAUGGUAGGGGAGCGUUCCAUGAACGGAGAAGUACGACCGAAAGGACGUGUGGAGAUCAUGGAAGAGAGAAUGCCGGUGUGAGUAGCGGAACGUGGGUGAGAAUCCCACGCACCGAAAACCCAAGGUUUCCAGAGGAAGGUUCGUCCGCUCUGGGUAAGUCGGGACCUAAGGCGAGGCCGAAAGGCGUAGUCGAUGGACAACAGGUAGAGAUUCCUGUACCCGUAUAUAUGUGAAGGAAUGACGGAGAGAGGAAGCUGCAGCCAGCGGCUGGAAGAGCUGGUGCAAGCGAGAUAUCGGGAUGGCAGGCAAAUCCACCAUCCGAAACGAGAAGGCGUGAAGCGUACGGAAAGCUACGGCGAGUACGGAAGGCAGUGGAGGAACUUCCAAGAAAAGUUUCUAACGUUAAGUAUAUAUGGCCCGUACCGAAAAUGGACACACAUGGGUGAGGAGAGAAUCCUAAGGUGAGCGAGAGAACUAUAGCUAAGGAACUCUGCAAAAUGACUCCGUAACUUAGGGAGAAGGAGUGCUCAUAGAGAUAUGAGCCGCAGUGAAACGGCCCAAGCGACUGUUUACCAAAAACACAGCUCUCUGCUAAGCCGCAAGGCGAAGUAUAGGGGGUGACGCCUGCCCGGUGCUGGAAGGUUAAGGGGAGGGGUUAACGCAAGUGAAGCCCUGAACUGAAGCCCCAGUAAACGGCGGCCGUAACUAUAACGGUCCUAAGGUAGCGAAAUUCCUUGUCAGGUAAGUUCUGACCCGC